rnacentral:rRNA from 1 species
GAAUCUUGCGCAAUGGGCGAAAGCCUGAUGCAGCGACGCCGCGUGAGGGAUGACGGCCUUCGGGUUGUAAACCUCUUUCAGUAGGAAAGAAGCCUUUCGGGGUGACGGUACCUGCAGCAGAAGCGCCGGCUAACUACGUGCCAGCAGCCGCGGUAAUACGUAGGGCGCAAGCGUUGUCCGGAAUUAUUGGGCGUAAAGAGCUCGUAGGCGGCUUGUCGCGUCUGCUGUGAAAACGCAAGGCUUAACCUUGCGCCUGCAGUGGGUACGGGCAGGCUAGAGUGCGGUAGGGGAGACUGGAAUUCCUGGUGUAGCGGUGGAAUGCGCAGAUAUCAGGAGGAACACCGGUGGCGAAGGCGGGUCUCUGGGCCGUUACUGACGCUGAGGAGCGAAAGCAUGGGGAGCGAACAG